rnacentral:rRNA from 1 species
AUUGAACGCUGGCGGCAGGCCUAACACAUGCAAGUCGAGCGGCGCGGCGGCCGGGUGCGUAAUACAUAGGUAUCUGCCUGGUAGUGGGGGAGAAGGUUAGGAAACGGACGCUGAUACAGAAUACUAUCAGAAGAGCCUAGGUCGGAUUAGCUAGUUGGUGAGGUAAUGGCUCACCAAGGCUACGAUCCGUAACUGGUCUGAGAGGAUGUUCAGUCACACUGGAACGGAGACACGGUCCAGAAUCCUACGGGAGGCAGCCGUGGGGAAUAUUGGACAAUGGGCGAAAGCCUGAUCCAGCCAUGCCGCGUGUGUGAAGAAGGUCUUCGGAUUGUAAAGCACUUUAAGUUGGGAGGCGUUACCGACAGAAUAAGUACCGGCUAACUCGGUGCCAGCAGCCGCGGUAAUAC